rnacentral:tRNA from 1 species
GCCGGGAUGGCGGAAUCGGUAGACGCUGCAGACUUAAAAUCUGUUGCCCCUAGGGGCGUGCGGGUUCAAGUCCCGCUCUCGGCA